UCGAGGAUCUUCGGCAAUGGGCGCAAGCCUGACCGAGCGACGCCGCGUGUGCGAUGAAGGCCUUCGGGUUGUAAAGCACUGUCGAGGGGGGGAAAGGCGAAAGCUUGAUCUACCCCUGGAGGAAGCACGGGCUAAGUUCGUGCCAGCAGCCGCGGUAAGACGAACCGUGCGAACGUUGUUCGGAAUCACUGGGCUUAAAGGGCGCGUAGGCGGCUUCGCAAGUCCGGGGUGAAAGCCCCCAGCUCAACUGGGGAAGUGCCUUGGAUACUGCGGGGCUCGAGGGAGGUAGGGGUGCGUGGAACUUCCGGUGGAGCGGUGAAAUGCGUUGAUAUCGGAAGGAACGCCGGUGGCGAAAGCGACGCACUGGACCUCUUCUGACGCUGAGGCGCGAAAGCCAGGGGAGCAAACGGGAUUAGAUACCCCGGUAGUCC
rnacentral:rRNA from 1 species